rnacentral:lncRNA from 1 species
ACUAAUAAUCAAGAUACAGUUGUCUCUAAUCUACUUGCAUCGACACAAAGAUUUACUAGAAAUCCAAGGAGUGUAAGUAAUUUAAGGCCUUUGAUGGAUCCUAAUUGUCUAAGAACACUUUCUCUUUUUCAACCAAUUUUGAACUGACCCAAUCUCUAUCGAAACAAAUAUCUAGCCAAACUUCACAAACUUUUAUUCUUCUUCCCUCCUUUUUUUUUUCUUUUUUUUGAAUUGACUUUAUUUUGUCCGUUUUCUUAGGCAAACAAUGUUACCCAUGUAGCGAGCUUUAUGUCAGUGACUCCCAAACCAAACGGUCUUAGGGCACUAGGUUUUGAAAUCCCCCUACGGACUUAAUU